UCCCUGAUGGCUCAUUAGGUAAAGAACCUGCCUGUAAUGCAGGAGACACAGAAGAUUCGGGUUCAAUUCCCGAGUUGGGAA
rnacentral:tRNA from 1 species